rnacentral:misc_RNA from 1 species
UACGGAGGGUGCAAGCGUUGUCCGGAUUUAUUGGGUUUAAAGGGUGCGUAGGCGGAAGUUUAAGUCAGUGGUGAAAGUUUGCGGCUCAACCGUAAAAUUGCCAUUGAUACUGGGUUUCUUGAGUAUAGUUGAGGUAGGCGGAAUUCAUGGUGUAGCGGUGAAAUGCAUAGAUACCAUGAAGAACACCAAUAGCGUAGGCAGCUUACUAAACUAUAACUGACGCUGAGGCACGAAAGCGUGGGGAGCAAACAGG